AUUCCGGUUGAUCCUGCCGGAGGCCAUUGCUAUCGGAGUCCGAUUUAGCCAUGCUAGUCGUGCGAGUUCAGACUCGCGGCACCGAGCUCAGUAACACGUGGCCAAACUACCCUACAGAGACGGAUACCCUCGGGAAACUGAGGUUAACCCGUCAUACCGAUCUCAGGCUUGAAUCGCAGAGAUCACAAAACGCCCCGGCGCUGUAGGAUGUGGCUGCGGUUGAUUAGGUAGACGGUGGGGUAACGGCCCACCGUGCCCAUAAUCAGUACAGGUUGUGAGAGCAAGAACCUGGAGACGGAAUCUGAGACAAGAUUCCGGGCCCUACGGGGCGCAGCAGGCGCGAAACCUUUACACUGCACGCACGUGCGAUAAGGGGACUCCGAGUGCGAGGGCAUAUCGUCCUCGCUUUCGUGUACCGUAGGGUGGUACACCAACAAGGGCUGGGCAAGACCGGUGCCAGCCGCCGCGGUAAUACCGGCAGCCCGAGUGAUGGCCGAUCUUAUUGGGCCUAAAGCGUCCGUAGCU
rnacentral:rRNA from 3 species